rnacentral:rRNA from 1 species
AGAGUUUGAUCAUGGCUCAGAUUGAACGCUGGCGGCAGGCUUAACACAUGCAAGUCGAGCGGAAACGAAAGUAGCUUGCUACUAGGCGUCGAGCGGCGGACGGGUGAGUAAUGCUUAGGAAUCUACCGAGUAGUGGGGGAUAGCCAUUGGAAACGAUGAUUAAUACCGCAUAUAUCCUACGGGGGAAAGCAGGGGACCUUCGGGCCUUGCGCUAUUCGAUGAGCCUGAGUGAGAUUAGCUAGUUGGUGGGGUAAAGGCCUACCAAGGCGACGAUCUCUAGCUGGUCUGAGAGGAUGAUCAGCCACACUGGGACUGAGACACGGCCCAGACUCCUACGGGAGGCAGCAGUGGGGAAUAUUGCACAAUGGGCGAAAGCCUGAUGCAGCCAUGCCGCGUGUGUGAAGAAGGCCUUCGGGUUGUAAAGCACUUUCAGCGAGGAGGAAAGGUUAGUAGUUAAUAACUGCUAGCUGUGACGUUACUCGCAGAAGAAGCACCGGCUAAUUUAGUGCCAGCAGCCGCGGUAAUACUAAAGGUGCAAGCGUUAAUCGGAAUUACUGGGCGUAAAGCGCGCGUAGGUGGUUUGUUAAGUUGGAUGUGAAAGCCCAGGGCUCAACCUUGGAACUGCAUUCAAAACUGACUCACUAGAGUACGAGAGAGGUUAGUGGAAUUUCCUGUGUAGCGGUGAAAUGCGUAGAGAUGGGAAGGAACACCAGUGGCGAAGGCGACUGACUGGCUCGAUACUGACACUGAGGUGCGAAAGCGUGGGGAGCAAACGGGAUUAGAUACCCCGGUAGUCCACGCCGUAAACG